GUCCACGCCCUAAACUGUGCUCACUUGGUGUGGGAGGAUUCGACACCUUCCGUGCCGUAGCUAACGCGUUAAGUGAGCCGCCUGGGGAGUACGGCCGCAAGGUUAAAACUCAAAGAAAUUGACGGGGGCCCGCACAAGCGGUGGAGUAUGUGGCUCAAUUCGAUGCAACGCGAAGAACCUUACCUGGGUUUGACAUGUACCGUGAAAGCCGAUGAAAGUCGGUGACGGCCCGAAAGGGUGCUGGGGGUACACAGGUGCUGCAUGGCUGUCGU
rnacentral:rRNA from 1 species